rnacentral:rRNA from 1 species
UACAGAGGGGGCAAGCGUUGUUCGGAAUUACUGGGCGUAAAGGGCGCGUAGGUGGCCUUCUAAGUUGAACGUGAAAUCCCUGGGCUCAACCCAGGAACUGCGUCCAAGACUGGGAGGCUUGAAUCCGGGAGAGGGAUGCGGAAUUCCAGGUGUAGCGGUGAAAUGCGUAGAUAUCCGGAGGAACACCGGUGGCGAAGGCGGCAUCCUGGACCAACACUGACGCUGAGUGAGCGAAAGCCAGGGGAGCAAACGGG